UGUUAACCCUUCAGAAUAUAAAAUGAAAGGUUUGAUGUCACUAUGUAUUGUAAAAGUCUUAAAUAAUUUGUCUAUUUUUAUCAAAAAACUUAUGAAAUAUCUAUAAUUCUAAUAUAUUAUCACUUACAUGUAAUCGACUGGCGAUCUCAUAUCCCAUUAUUUUAGCUUUGAAUGAUUAUCACGUGUUAUGUAUGUGUAUACUUGUGUACAGAGAAUUAGGUAUGAUGAACUAUGUAUGUAUAUUUCUUUCUAUCUUGUUCACCAUUGUAAAUUAUUACUUGUAUUAUUUGUCUGCCUCUUGUUACAGUGUAAACUGUCUAGAGUGUUAAUAAAAGUUGAAAGU
rnacentral:lncRNA from 1 species